CGGGCUGGUCGUAUGACCAUGGUCCACCGAAACGGCGUGGGGACCCCGC
rnacentral:ncRNA from 1 species